UACGUAGGGUGCGAGCGUUGUCCGGAAUUAUUGGGCGUAAAGGGCGCGUAGGCGGCCAUUCAAGUCAGGGGUGAAAGCCCAAGGCUCAACCUUGGAAUUGCCUUUGAUACUGUUUGGCUUGAGUCUGGUAGAGGUUGGUGGAACUGCGAGUGUAGAGGUGAAAUUCGUAGAUAUUCGCAAGAACACCGGUGGCGAAGGCGGCCAACUGGACCAGAACUGACGCUGAGGCGCGAAAGCGUGGGGAGCAAACAGG
rnacentral:rRNA from 1 species